GACGAACGCUGGCGGCGUGCUUAACACAUGCCUUUCGAACGGAAAGGCCCUGCUUUUGUGGGGUGCUCGAGUGGCGAACGGGUGAGUAACACGUGAGUAACCUGCCCUUGACUUUGGGAUAACUUCAGGAAACUGGGGCUAAUACCGGAUAGGAGCUCCUGCUGCAUGGUGGGGGUUGGAAAGUUUCGGCGGUUGGGGAUGGACUCGCGGCUUAUCAGCUUGUUGGUGGGGUAGUGGCUUACCAAGGCUUUGACGGGUAGCCGGCCUGAGAGGGUGACCGGCCACAUUGGGACUGAGAUACGGCCCAGACUCCUACGGGAGGCAGCAGUGGGGAAUAUUGCACAAUGGGCGGAAGCCUAAUGCAGCAACGCCGCGUGCGGGAUGACGGCCUUCGGGUUGUAAACCGCUUUCGCCUGUGACGAAGCGUGAGUGACGGUAAUGGGUAAAGAAGCACCGGCUAACUACGUGCCAGCAGCCGCGGUGAUACGUAGGGUGCGAGCGUUGUCCGGAUUUAUUGGGCGUAAAGGGCUCGUAGGUGGUUGAUCGCGUCGGAAGUGUAAUCUUGGGGCUUAACCCUGAGCGUGCUUUCGAUACGGGUUGACUUGAGGAAGGUAGGGGAGAAUGGAAUUCCUGGUGGAGCGGUGGAAUGCGCAGAUAUCAGGAGGAACACCAGUGGCGAAGGCGGUUCUCUGGGCCUUUCCUGACGCUGAGGAGCGAAAGCGUGGGGAGCGAACAGGCUUAGAUACCCUGGUAGUCCACGCUGUAAACGGUGGGUACUAGGCGUGGGGUCCAUUCCACGGGUUCCGUGCCGUAGCUAACGCUUUAAGUACCCCGCCUGGGGAGUACGGCCGCAAGGCUAAAACUCAAAGGAAUUGACGGGGCCCCGCACAAGCGGCGGAGCAUGCGGAUUAAUUCGAUGCAACGCGUAGAACCUUACCUGGGUUUGACAUGGAUCGGGAGUGCUCAGAGAUGGGUGUGCCUCUUUUGGGGUCGGUUCACAGGUGGUGCAUGCCUGUCGUCAGCUCGUGUCGUGAGAUGUUGGGUUAAGUCCCGCAACGAGCGCAACCCUUGUUCACUGUUGCCAGCACGUUAUGGUGGGGACUCAGUGGAGACCGCCGGGGUCAACUCGGAGGAAGGUGGGGAUGACGUCAAGUCCUCAUGCCCCUUAUGUCCAGGGCUUCACGCAUGCUACAAUGGCUGGUACAGAGAGUGGCGAGCCUGUGAGGGUGAGCGAAUCUCGGAAAGCCGGUCUCAGUUCGGAUUGGGGUCUGCAACUCGACCUCAUGAAGUCGGAGUCGCUAGUAAUCGCAGAUCAGCAACGCUGCGGUGAAAAAGUUCCCGGGGCU
rnacentral:rRNA from 1 species